AAGCCGAUGAGUUACCUAUAAAAGGAUGUGACACUGAUAUGUGAGGGCACUCUUCUUUUUCUGAAUAGAGGAACAAAAGAUUGUCAACCGGAAUCCGGCCAUGACGACGGUAAAAAGAUUGAGCCAUAGUACUGUACUACUUUAAAAAGAUUGAGUCUGAGGAUUUUUAGAACUCAUGUUUCAGAGUCCACAUAUUUGACCAAGACGCUACUGAGAGUUCAGCUAAGUCAUCUGAACUUCCCUAUGGAGCAAAAGAUGUAAAAUUGCAUCUGGAAGGAUUAAACUUUGGCGUUGCUAUGAAACAAGAUGCAGAACAAACAAAUUACAUGACAGAUGACUAGUAAAUGCGAGGAAUUUAAACCUAUUGGGCAGUAGCAGUUUAACUAAGUCAUUCGGUGGCAAAUUAGUCCAGCAAAGUAUAUGAUUACUUCUGGACAUUCUGCAGCGAAAACUGGGGGUGUGACUAAUCCAAAUAAUACACAAUAGGCAAUUGAAAACUAAAAACUUCAUUUCAAUGAAAGUAAAUAUACAGAGACUCCAGAUGCAUUUGGACUAGUAUCUUCAAAUAAUAUCAAUUGCAAGACCAGCUAGUUUGUUUUCCAACAAAAUAUUGUAAGUUUGAAAAUUUAUCUUCAUCAUAUUGAGAGCUAAUUUGAUAAAUUGCAGAUACAAGGAAAACAUUCACCGUCCAGCGAUGGGAGAAUCUGUAGAGCGUGGAUUGUAUGAUCAUCAUAAAAUAGGACAACCAAGUACUUCAGAAGCGAGCAGGGCCAUUAAAGCUGCCAAAAUGGUCAUGCCAGUAAAUCCUUACUUGCAGAUUCUUGAAAAAUAUAACAUUUACGGAACCGUAUUCUGGUACGAUGGCGCUGCUAUUUACAGUAAGAAUUUCAGCAAGAAUGGACUUGAGAGAAGUAUGAAGUCAACAGCCAUGGCAAAAAAUCAACAAGCUUCAAUAUAUGAUGAGGGAAGGAAGCGAAUAAGGCCAGCAAAAUAACCUUACAGUUCUAAAUUCCCUAGAUGGACUCGUGUGGACGUCGAAAAUGGCACAUGUUUAUGAGCAAAGUUGGUGGAUCCAUUAUAUCAAAAUUCUAUAGUGCAGAAUUUAGGAAUGCAGUACUUAGCACUAUGAGUGCUUCGGACAUGGUGAGGGACAUCAUCGUCCAAAGCUUGAAGUUCAGGGCUUGUGAAUUCUCCUUAAUCUUUCCCUCAUACUCCAAAAUAUGUCCCAAGAACUCAAGCUGGCUCAUAAGAAAUAAAAACUUGUGUGGUGUUGUAUAAACAAUUUCAUGAGCUAAGGUCUCAAAUUUUGAUUGUUUUACACACAGUUACCUGUGACUUAUGUCUUCUAAGAUUCUUGUUUCUCAAUACUGUUUUCUCCUUCCCCAGGUUUUGGGUGCAUAUUUUGAGAAGCUGGGCUCAAAAUUUUUUUGUAUUGCCCUUUGAACACUGAACAAGUUCUUUUCUCAAAUUCCGCUGGCUCUGUUUAGCUGAUAUCCUAUUGGGUGCCGUUUAAGCAGAUACAGGAACUUCGAGAGAUUGCAUAGUCACCUGAAGGAUAUUCCUAAUUACACAUUGCAUUUGCUUUCUAAGAGGAUAUUUUCGUCUAGUACAGAAUAUGCAUUCGUUCAUCAGCAUUGCAUUCAGCUUUACAAAUAUCUGCAAGUAUGUUUCUGCACUGCUUUUAUAUCUAUUGGGAAUAUUUGUGCCUUCUGGUUGCUUUAAAUAUUCUUUCUCUAACAAGAUCUCUUGUCAAUUGCCAAUGUGGCUGAGCAACAUGAAGUGUGGGAUUUUCUUAGUGCCUCUUCCAAGUUAACGUGGAUGAUGCUGUGGAUGAUACCGUGCGUCAAUUUAAAGGCGUUUCUGAUGGCUUGAUGCGUAAAGUUUUCGGCUCUCCUUCAUCUUCUUCUUAUGAUCCUACUACCUCUACUUCAGACAGAAAUUUGUUUUGGAACGUAGAGGAAAUACAUGAACUGGCUUUAACACAAAGCAACUCUGAGUCAGUUAAUAGCUUCUCUGACAAUGAUAGCAGUGAUAAAGAUGGAAGCCACAGGGAUGAGGAAGUAGGACCUAGUUCAGAAGACAAUGGGUGGCAUUCGAACAAUGAGUUGAAUUCAAAAGGAUUUACCCCUUGGGUGGUUAAACGUGACGAAGAGCGGAUAAACUCAGCGGUGGAUAUGAAGAAUGGUUCUGGGCUCCAACGUAAAUCUUUCAGUUCUUGAUGAUUCCCCGUAGACAAGUUUGGUAGUAGUUCCCAGUCAACAAGAGGAUCCAGUUGGAGUGCCACCAGAGAGAAUCCCAGCCGAUUUUCUUAGGCAUAUAUCAGAAGAAUCACCUGAUAGAGCCACUCUAAAGUGUCUUUCUGGAGGCACUUGGAAUGUGAAACUACAAUGUGAUGGAAGAGGGCUUGCUUAUACACAAAGGUUGGAGAAAUUUCAGAAAAAUAACCAACUACAAAAUGGGGAAUAUCUCGUGUUUAGGUACGAUGGCGCUCUGCAAUUCACAAUAAGAAUUUUCAGCAAGAAUGGACUGGAAAGACAAGUGAAGUAACCAAACAUGGUAAAAAAUCAACAAGCUUCAAUAUAUGAUGGAGGUAGCAAGUGUAAAAGGCUAGAAAAAUACCCUUACACUUCAAAAUUCACUAAACAGACUCGUGCUUACUGUGAAAAUGACACAGAACAUGCAACUCCAAGAAAAAGAGCUGGACUUGAGAAAGAAGAGAACCUUCUCACAGAUCUCACACCAAAUAUUCCUCAAUUUGUGAAAUGCUUGAAAGGCUAUAAUGUGAAAAAGUCAUGUUUCCUGUAUGUUCCAAAAUCCUUCUGUGAACAACUUUCGAAAUCAGACAAUAAGACAGCAGGUGUCCUCUGUAAUUCAGAAGGAAAAAGGUGGAACGUGAAAUGUAAAACGCAAAAUGGAUAUCACACUUUCUGUGAGGAUGGUAACAGUUUGUGAGUGAUAACAAGCUUUAAGGAAGGACAUGUCUGUUUUUCAGCUUGUCAAUGCAAAUGAACUGAAGGUUUCUGUUUUCGAUGAUCCUUCAGAAUCUCUGUUGAAACUUGCCUGCACAAAGAUGAUAAAUUCUUAGUUAUGAACUGCUACAAUUUGCUGUUAUUAUCUUGGAAUUUGAACUUGAAUAGUAUGUUUCUGCACUGCUUUUAUAUCUGUUUGGAAUAUGUGUGCCUUCUGGUUGCUUUAAAUGUUCUUUCUCUAACAGGAUCUCUUGUCAAUUGCCAAUGUGGCUGAGCAACAUGAAGUGUGGGAUUUUCUUAGUGCCUCUUCCAAAUUAUAUAUUUCUUGAAAUUCGUUAGGUCUUAUACCAUCAUUUCAUAUAUAUCUAGGCUGUUUUAACCCUAACAAAUAUCUGAUUUAUUUCUAUGAAGAACUACUUCUUUGGAAAAAUUUCUUCAGUGAUUUUUCCACCCAACAUGUUUAUUUUCUUUAUUUAUGUGAUGAGCCUGGUGUUUCCAUUGGAUAUUUUUACAUCCAUAUACUCGUAUACAUGGAAUGUGGUAAGGGUAGUCCUGUUGAUGACUGCAAUAAUAAAUCUCCAUUUAAAGGCCAGAAUAACUUGUACCAAGUUUCGUCACAUAGGAUGCAGUGUGGGUAUCUGAUUCCAACUUCAGAUAAUGCUUAAUUCUUGAAGUGAGUUGGGGAGUCUGCUUUGCUAAAUUAUAAAGCUAAAGUGUGAAACAGUAUUGUACUAUUAAAUCACAAUCUGAGGCGACACACUAUGUUACUUUUCUUCACAUCAUAUAAUCUGCAGUCAUGAACUUUAAGUAGUAUGUUUAUUUAAUUGUGUUAUAAUAGAGUUAAAUUCUUAAUUUACAUAUUGCUCCGUGUUGGAGAAGUACCAUAUGUAUCAUAUUUGAAACCUAUAAAUAGGCGAUUUGUAUUCACUGAAUUGUCAAGUUAUCAAUAUGUUUUUUUCUUGUGUCAUUCUCUCACGUGAUAUCUGAGCCUACCUUUGUAGGUUUUUCUCGCACUGGCAAGUCCAUAUUCAAAUACAUGAGUGAACAAUAGAGGUGGUUACACAUGUGGAAGGUUGUUUAGUUAUAUAAAAGUGGUUUAUAAGGUCUUUUGACAACUUUAUUUUUGUCUUAAGGUUUGCUCAAACCUUCACAUGGUAUCUGAACUCGUACGAUCUUGAUAGACCUCAACAGGGCAGUUCUUAUGCCGGUUUUGGGCCUAAGUUCCUUUUUUUUUUCCAUAAUUUUCAUCUUCUUGUCCUUUCUUGGCACCACCACUUCUUUCAAGGAAAAAGAAUAAAAUAGGGUGGAGGAUGGAUUAUGUUCAAGGCUAUUGACUAGGAAAAAUUAUUGUCUGUUCUUGGCAGGGAUUUAAGUGACUAAAUGUUAAAAUGUUCAGUAAUGAAUCCUUUGUGGUGCACCAAUGCAUAAGAUGUCACAUCAAUCAGUCAGCACUCAGCUAAAUGAAUAACUACGAAUGUUAACGUGGAUGAUGAUGUGGAUGAUAUGGUGCGUCAAUUUAAAGGCGUUUCUGAUGGCUUGAUGCGUAAAGUUUUUGGCUCUCCUUUAUCUUCUUCUUAUGAACCUACUUCCUCUACUUCAAGCAGAAAUUUGUUUUGGAAUGUGGAGGAAAUACAUAAACUGGCUUUAACACAAAGCAACUCUGAGUCAGUUAAUAGCUUCUCUGACAAUGAUAACGAUGAUAAAGGUGGAAGCCAUGGGGAUGAGGAAGUAGGACCUAGUUCAGAAGACAAUGGGCGGCAUUCGGACAAUGAGUUGAAUUCAAAAGGAUUUACCCCUUGGGUGGUUAAACACGACGAAGAGCUGAUAAGCUCAGCGGUGGACUUGAAAAAUGGUUCUGGGCUCCAAACUGAAUCUUUCAGUUCCGGAGGAUUCCCUGGAGACAAGUUUGGUAGUAGUUCCCAGUCAACAAGAUGAUCCAGUUGGAGUGCCACCAGAGUUAUCUCUUUCUUCUUCUACUUCUUGUGAAUGGGGUAUCUUCAUUGGAAAUUUAUUCUGCUGAAAACAUGAAGGAAGACCAAUAGAUGUGCUACAAGACAUUUGAAGCUAGGAAUCGUGUCUUAUCAGAGGGCUGCAAGUGAAUAUAUGACCUCAUAUUUUUUCUGCAUAUUUGGAUGUGUUUCUUGUAUCGAGGAGUCGAUUAAUAUGCUUUAUUAAGGUUCAUAGUAGGUGAGAUAAAAUCAGUCUGGUCUAAUCUCAUGUCUGGAAUGCUCCCAGUUGGAUUACUUAUACAGUAGGACCAGGGUUUCCCUUCAGUUAUGGGGCAACGAGAGAGUGUUAAAGUGAUUUCAGUUUUAGCAUGCGAGAUAUUUACAAGUUAGGUUCUUGUCAGCCUUCUGAUCUAAUGUAAUUUAUCUGAAAUAUUUCAGUAGGGAUGGCACUGGGGUUGGUUGAGUCUUAACCUGCUAAAAUUUCAACCCACCCUGCCCUAUUUUAGUUUCUGUCAUUUUUUUGUUACUUUGUUAAAAUGGACAUGUUUAUAAUUUGAUUAUUUUUACAAAUGGAGACUUUAUAUUGCUUUA